ensembl:lncRNA
UACACUCACAGAAUGUAUUAAUCCUCGUCUGAAAAGUAGUUCUAAACAAAUCCGCUCCUCCUUUUGGAGUAGCGUAUGCUGAAAACUACAUGCCCAGCUGUUUUAAGAAAUAACUGCAUAUUUAUGAGCCUCAUUUCCAGCCGUCUCUAAUCAUAACCAGCAGUAAAGCGCAGGAAGUUAUGACGCGUACCGCUUGUCGAGGGGUCUGUUGACACUGAAAUAUAAAUAACAGCAGUCUUAUCUUUAAAGCAGUCAAAUUUCAUCCCAAGACAGACGAACUCUACCUCUGCCCACAAGUGUGCGUAAAAGAUGGAUGUAGUCGACAUCAUCCAUUUGUUCCUUAAGUCCUGAUAUGUCACGCUGAACCCCCUUUAGGUACUGACCUGUCAAUCAUGAAGUAGGCCUGUUUUUCACCGGGUGCAUUUGUUUGUCCUCGUUUUUCUAACGAGGAUCAUAAUUUACUAAAUAAACGUCAAAUUCAAGAAGACCCAAAAGCAGCGACUGAGGCCAUAAAGUCUUAACAGCUCAUAGGUCGAUGCAGAUUUCUAUAGACUGACAUCUUUGCAAGUAAUCGCUCCCUGCUGGCCGUUAGAAAGAUUACAUGGUGCUUCCACGCUGGCUUUACUGUUAUUAUACAGUAAUAACAGUCUGAGCGCCUCUGCGUGAUAACCACGUUCUUUCUUCCUGCUGCCAAAGCUCACCUCAGCCAAAACUAAACAUGAACACAAAGAUCACUGCAGGUCUGUGGACUCUGCGUUUGGGUCCCUUUAGAGAUCCUGAACACCUUUAAUUAUAAAUACAUUCUGUACUUUAUUCAAGGUUUGUUUUGUCUUUUGUGUUUUUGUUCUCGUGUCGGUGCACUGGGCAUUGCGGAAAAUUGAGAAAUACUUUUUAAAAACCUUUGUUGGGUUGUUUUUUUGUUUGCUUUAUGCAGGCUUGGAGUUCAAUUGUUUUUCUUUCUUUUCUUUUUUUUCUUUUUUUGUAGUAGCAGAUCGCCUCACAGGUGAAACGAUGAUAUUUUGGGGUAAAAGCUCUUUUCAGAGUUAAUAAAAUGCCUGGAAUGUUACCUUUGCUGCGAUCUAUUAGGCCUCAUUUAUGCAGAGGAACGUUUCGUCAUUCACUGUGAAUUUGUUCCCUUUUUUUUUCAUUUUUGAUAUUAAAAUAAAUACUUUUGUCAUAAAAGACUCUGCUUCUGAUUUUUACUUGUAGAAUUAAAAUAUUUUAAUGUCAGUUUUUCAAAAGCUGCAGAUUGGUUUUUAUGUCUUUC